CCGAAAUUUUUAAAUUUUAUGUCAGAAACGUCUUAGGCAAUAUAAUUAAACAUUAAAUGAUCAGUCAAUUUAAUAAAAGUAAUAUUUCAUAUCACUACCAAAGAUACCGACUACGAGCUGGUAACCCUGAUUUGUUGAACAAGAAGCAGAAAAAAAAUCAAAGAUAACAUGCUUACAAUUUUGAACGGUAUACGCGCGUUUCAUCAACACAAAUUAAGGUGUAACUUUACGGUUUUCAAAUCUCGAAAAUCGGUAAGGAAGAGAUUAAUCAGGAAAAACACAGAAACUGAGAGAAUUGCAAGAACUCCGAAAUGUAGGAGUCCGCGUGGGUCGAUAAAAUAAGUGUGCCUUAUCACCCUUUUGAGAACAUUUUUCUUUUUUUUUUUAAUGUACCCUCUAUGAUUACUGAUUGUUGCCGUCAAACUACUUUUUAAAACCCAUAAAAACCACAAGCAGACUAAUAAUAGUGUUCAGUAUGAUACACAGGAAAGUAAAGAAUGAGCAAUAAAAACCCCGAAGACCCUCUACACUUGACAGUCUUUAUUUUGUAAAAGUGCCGCUUGCACACUUUAGUCUGUUUUUUAUCAAUAUCAAUUUGCAUAUAAUUUGCAUAUAACAUGUAUAUUUUACAACUUAAAUAUAAGAUUAAUCUUGCUACUUUUUCAACUUCAUGUAAAUACUACGUAAACAUUGGAUUAGCAACAUAAAUUUAUCAGAAAC
rnacentral:lncRNA from 1 species